UACGAAGGGGGCGAGCGUUGUUCGGAAUCACUGGGCGUAAAGGGCGCGUAGGCGGCCCUCUUUGUCGCGUGUGAAAGCCCCGGGCUCAACCUGGGAACGGCGCGCGAAACGGGGGGGCUGGAGUUCGGGAGAGGUGAGUGGAACUGCGAGUGUAGAGGUGAAAUUCGUAGAUAUUCGCAAGAACACCAGUGGCGAAGGCGGCUCACUGGCCCGGUACUGACGCUGAGGUGCGAAAGCGUGGGGAGCGAACAGG
rnacentral:rRNA from 1 species